UACGUAAGGUCCAAGCGUUGUCCGGAAUCAUUGGGCGUAAAGGGUACGUAGGCGGAUAAGCAAGUUAGAAGUGAAAUCCUAUAGCUCAACUAUAGUAAGCUUUUAAAACUGCUCAUCUUGAGGUAUGGAAGGGAAAGUGGAAUUCCUAGUGUAGCGGUGAAAUGCGUAGAGAUUAGGAAGAACACCAGUGGCGAAGGCGACUCUCUGGUCUGUAACUGACGCUGAGGUUCGAAAGUGUGGGUAGCAAACAGG
rnacentral:rRNA from 1 species